UCGCCCUAUUAACUUUAAAGAUGGACGUCCUGCUGAUGGAAGAGUUCAACAAGAGAGCUCCAACAUUCACAGAGAUCAACCAGACCAGCAGAAUCCAACAGACCUGGACUUCAUCUUUAUGCUGCUGGAGGAGAACAUCAUCACCUUUGUGAAGAACGAGC